CCCGCACAAGCAGCGGAGCGUGUGGUUUAAUUCGAUGUUACGCGAAAACCUUACCCGGGCUUGACAUGCAGGUAGUAGGGAACCGAGAGGGGACCGACUCUUCGGAGAGCCUGCACAGGUGCUGCAUGGCUGUCGUCAGCUCGUGCCGUGAGGUGUCCGGUUAAGUCCGGUAACGAGCGCAACCCUCGCCAUAUGUUACAAGUGUCAUAUGGGACUGCCGAUAUAAAGUCGGAGGAAGGUGGGGAUGACGUCAAGUCAGCAUGGCCUUUAUGUCCGGGGCUACACACACGCUACAAUGGUCGGUACAAAGAGUUGCCAAGCCGUGAGGCGGAGCUAAUCUCAACAAAACCGGCCUCAGUUCGGAUUGGAGGCUGCAACCCGCCUCCAUGAAGUCGGAGUUGCUAGUAAACGCCGGUCAGCUAUACGGCGUUGAAUACGUUCCCGGGCCUU
rnacentral:rRNA from 1 species